UUGAUUCUCUCUCUUUUCUGACUAAACAUUUCCACUUUCAGAUCUCAAACUUUCUAACAGAUUCACAUUCCUAUCCAAUAUUUUGACCGAAACUUUCUGAAGAAAAGAAAAAGUAUACAGCAAAAGUAAACAUAAAAUUAUUCGAAACCGCUUUUAUAGAAUAAAAUAAAGUUCACGGUUCGAUUAGACUUGAUGCAGAAUUUACCAGCAACGGAUUGAAGCAGCGAGGCUUGGAGUUUCUCAGUGAAUCGGCGUUGAAGAAAUCGGAAAACAGAAGAAAAUUAUUGAAAAGAAAAAAAAAUCGAAAUUGAAAUUAGUUCGCG
rnacentral:lncRNA from 1 species